AAAAGUGUGAAAAUUCAAGGAAACAAGUGAAAAAAGGUGGUGAGCCCUCUGACAAGGGUAAAAAUGUUGUGUCAGAGAACUAAGAUUAGGAGUAUUUCAAACUCUUGAUACGGCUCAGGAUAGUCGGUAGAUAGCUCAUUUCGUUGAG